GGGCCCGUAGCUCAGCUGGAUAGAGCGCUGGCCUCCGGAGCCAGUGGUCGCGGGUUCGAAUCCCGCCGGGCCCGCCA
rnacentral:tRNA from 1 species